rnacentral:rRNA from 1 species
AUCAACUUUCGAUGGUAGGAUAGAGGCCUACCAUGGUGGUAACGGGUAACGGGGUGUUAGGGCACGACACCGGAGAGGGAGCCUGAGAAACGGCUACCACAUCCAAGGUUGGCAGCAGGCGCGCAAAUUACCCAAUCCCGACACGGGGAGGUAGUGACAAUAAAUAACAAUACGGGGUUCUUUCGGAUCUCGUAAUUGGAAUGAGUACAAUUUAAAUCUCUUAACGAGGAACAAUUGGAGGGCAAGUCUGGUGCCAGCAGCCGCGGUAAUUCCAGCUCCAAUAGCGUAUAUUAAAGUUGUUGCAGUUAAAAAGCUCGUAGUUGAAUUUCGGGAUCAAUAUGUUGGUCGUGCCUUGGUACGUACUGGCGUCAUUGGUUUCUACCUUCUGAAGAACCUCGAUGUCAUUAAUUUGGUGUCUUGGGGAAUCAGGACUGUUACUUUGAAAAAAUUAGAGUGUUUAAAGCAGGCUCACGCUUGAAUACAUUAGCAUGGAAUAAUGAAAUAGGACGUUUGAUUCUAUUUUGUUAGUUUCUAGGAUCGACGUAAUGAUUAAUAGGGAUAGUUGGGGGCAUUAGUAUUCAAUUGUCAGAGGUGAAAUUCUUGGAUUUAUUGAAGACUAACUACUGCGAAAGCAUUUGCCAAGGAUGUUUUCAUUAAUCAAGAACGAAAGUUAGGGGAUCGAAGACGAUCAGAUACCGUCGUAGUCUUAACCAUAAACUAUGCCGACUAGGGAUCGGAUGAUGUUAAUUUUUUAAUGACUCAUUCGGCGCCUUACGGGAAACCAAAGUGUUUGGGUUC